GACGAACGCUGGCGGCGUGCUUAACACAUGCAAGUCGAACGGAAAGGCCCUGCUUUUGUGGGGUGCUCGAGUGGCGAACGGGUGAGUAACACGUGAGUAACCUGCCCUUGACUUUGGGAUAACUUCAGGAAACUGGGGCUAAUACCGGAUAGGAGCUCCUGCUGCAUGGUGGGGGUUGGAAAGUUUCGGCGGUUGGGGAUGGACUCGCGGCUUAUCAGCUUGUUGGUGGGGUAGUGGCUUACCAAGGCUUUGACGGGUAGCCGGCCUGAGAGGGUGACCGGCCACAUUGGGACUGAGAUACGGCCCAGACUCCUACGGGAGGCAGCAGUGGGGAAUAUUGCACAAUGGGCGGAAGCCUGAUGCAGCAACGCCGCGUGCGGGAUGAUGGCCUUCGGGUUGUAAACCGCUUUCGCCUGUGACGAAGCGUGAGUGACUGUAAUGGGUAAAGAAGCACCGGCUAACUACGUG
rnacentral:rRNA from 1 species